rnacentral:tRNA from 1 species
GGGUCGGUAGCCAAGUGGACAACGGCAAUUGACUGUAGUUCAAUCUAACGCGAUGUUAUACGUGGGUUCGAAUCCCACCCGGCCUA